UACGUAGGGUGCAAGCGUUAUCCGGAAUUAUUGGGCGUAAAGAGCGCGCAGGCGGUCAGAUAAGUCGAAUGUGAAAGCCCCCGGCUCAACUGGGGAGGGUCAUUCGAUACUGUUCGACUCGAAGGCAGGAGAGGGAAGCGGAAUUCCCGGUGUAGUGGUGAAAUGCGUAGAUAUCGGGAGGAACACCAGUGGCGAAGGCGGCUUCCUGGCCUGUUCUUGACGCUGAGGCGCGAAAGCUAGGGGAGCAAACGGG
rnacentral:rRNA from 1 species